CGGGACGGGUGAGUAAUGUCUGGGAAACUGCCUGAUGGAGGGGGGUAACUACUGGAAACGGGAGCUAAUACCGCAUAACGUCGCAAGACCAAAGAGGGGGACCUUCGGGCCUCUUGCCAUCGGAUGUGCCCAGAUGGGAUUAGCUAGUAGGUGGGGUAACGGCUCACCUAGGCGACGAUCCCUAGCUGGUCUGAGAGGAUGACCAGCCACACUGGAACUGAGACACGGUCCAG
rnacentral:rRNA from 1 species